AGUGAACGCUGGCGGUAGGCCUAACACAUGCAAGUCGAACGGCAGCACAGUAAGAGCUUGCCCUUACGGGUGGCGAGUGGCGGACGGGUGAGGAAUACAUCGGAAUCUACUUUUUCGUGGGGGAUAACGUAGGGAAACUUACGCUAAUACCGCAUACGACCUACGGGUGAAAGCAGGGGAUCCUCGGACCUUGCGCGAUUGAAUGAGCCGAUGUCGGAUUAGCUAGUUGGCGGGGUAAAGGCCCACCAAGGCGACGAUCCGUAGCUGGUCUGAGAGGAUGAUCAGCCACACUGGAACUGAGACACGGUCCAGACUCCUACGGGAGGCAGCAGUGGGGAAUAUUGGACAAUGGGCGCAACCCUGAUCCAGCCAUACCGCGUGGGUGAAGAAGGCCUUCGGGUUGUAAAGCCCUUUUGUUGGGAAAGAAAAGCAGCAGGUUAAUACCCCGCUGUUCUGACGGUACCCAAAGAAUAAGCACCGGCUAACUUCGUG
rnacentral:rRNA from 1 species